UUUAUGGAGAGUUUGAUCCUGGCUCAGGAUGAACGCUGGCGGCGUGCCUAAUACAUGCAAGUCGAGCGAACGGACGAGAAGCUUGCCUCUCUGAUGUUAGCGGCGGACGGGUGAGUAACACGUGGAUAACCUACCUAUAAGACUGGGAUAACUUCGGGAAACCGGAGCUAAUACCGGAUAAUAUUUUGAACCGCAUGGUUC
rnacentral:rRNA from 1 species